AGGAGACCCUGGUGUCAGCGCCACUCAGGGUGUGUGACUGGUUGACCAGAGUGGCCAGCACUCGGUUCACCCUCUGGGCCACCUAGUCACCAACCCUCAGCACCAGCCCCACCUGCCUGGGAG
rnacentral:pre_miRNA from 8 species